rnacentral:rRNA from 1 species
UGGGGAAUAUUGCACAAUGGGCGCAAGCCUGAUGCAGCGACGCCGCGUGGGGGAUGACGGCCUUCGGGUUGUAAACUCCUUUCGCUAGGGACGAAGCUUUUUGUGACGGUACCUAGAUAAGAAGCACCGGCUAACUACGUGCCAGCAGCCGCGGUAAUACGUAGGGUGCGAGCGUUGUCCGGAAUUACUGGGCGUAAAGGGCUCGUAGGUGGUUUGUCGCGUCGUCUGUGAAAUUCCGGGGCUUAACUCCGGGCGUGCAGGCGAUACGGGCAUAACUUGAGUACUGUAGGAGUAACUGGAAUUCCUGGUGUAGCGGUGAAAUGCGCAGAUAUCAGGAGGAACACCGAUGGCGAAGGCAGGUUACUGGGCAGUUACUGACGCUGAGGAGCGAAAGCAUGGGUAGCGAACAGG